rnacentral:sRNA from 1 species
CUUCUUCAAUCUGUUGAGGACAAACGAAAUGGAUAUGCGAGCCCACGCCGCCGGCCGUGACUAUCUGCCCUUCUCCCGCGAUAACUUCCGUACCGGGCCCGAUAAUAAUGGUUACAUUGGCCUGGGUAUCGGGAUUGCCCGCUUUGCCGAUAGCGGCAAUGCGCCCAUCCUUGAUGCCGAUGUCGGCUUUGACGAUCCCCCAGUUAUCGACAAUCAGCGCAUUGCUAAUGACGGUGUCGACAGAUUCGCCGCAGCCGCAUUGGCUUUGACCCAUACCGUCGCGUAU